AGAGUUUGAUCCUGGCUCAGGACGAACGCUGGCGGCGUGCUUAACACAUGCAAGUCGAGCGGGGAUUAAGGAGCUUGCUCCUUAAUUCUAGCGGCGGACGGGUGAGUAACGCGUGAGCAACCUUUCCUUCACUGGGGAAUAACACCGGGAAACUGGUACUAAUACCGCAUGAGACCACGGUAUCGCAUGGUACAGGGGUCAAAGAUUUAUUGGUGAAGGGUGGGCUCGCGUCUGAUUAGGUAGUUGGUGAGGUAACGGCCCACCAAGCCGACGAUCAGUAGCCGACCUGAGAGGGUGAUCGGCCACAUUGGGACUGAGACACGGCCCAAACUCCUACGGGAGGCAGCAGUGGGGAAUAUUGCACAAUGGGGGAAACCCUGAUGCAGCGACGCCGCGUGAGCGAUGAAGUAUUUCGGUAUGUAAAGCUCUAUCAGCAGGGAAGAAAAUGACGGUACCUGACUAAGAAGCACCGGCUAAAUACGUGCCAGCAGCCGCGGUAAUACGUAUGGUGCAAGCGUUAUCCGGAUUUACUGGGUGUAAAGGGAGCGUAGACGGUUCAGUAAGUCUGAUGUGAAAACCCGGGGCUCAACCCCGGGACUGCAUUGGAAACUGUCGGACUAGAGUGCAGGAGAGGUAAGUGGAAUUCCUAGUGUAGCGGUGAAAUGCGUAGAUAUUAGGAGGAACACCAGUGGCGAAGGCGGCUUGCUGGACGACAACUGACGCUGAGGCGCGAAAGCGUGGGGAGCAAACAGGAUUAGAUACCCUGGUAGUCCACGCUGUAAACGAUGAAUACUAGGUGUGGGAGGACUGACCCCUUCCGUGCCGCAGUUAACACAAUAAGUAUUCCACCUGGGGAGUACGACCGCAAGGUUGAAACUCAAAGGAAUUGACGGGGGCCCGCACAAGCAGUGGAUUAUGUGGUUUAAUUCGACGCAACGCGAAGAACCUUACCAGGAUUUGACAUCCAACUAACGAAGUAGAGAUACAUUAGGUGCCCUUCGGGGAAAGUUGAGACAGGUGGUGCAUGGUUGUCGUCAGUUCGUGUCGUGAGAUGUUGGGUUAAGUCCCGCAACGAGCGCAACCCCUGUCCUUAGUAGCCAGCAGUUCGGCUGGGCACUCUAGGGAGACUGCCAGGGAUAACCUGGAGGAAGGCGGGGAUGACGUCAAAUCAUCAUGCCCCUUAUGACUUGGGCUACACACGUGCUACAAUGGCGUAAACAAAGGGAAGCGAACCUGUGAGGGUAAGCAAAUCUCAAAAAUAACGUCUCAGUUCGGAUUGUAGUCUGCAACUCGACUACAUGAAGCUGGAAUCGCUAGUAAUCGCGAAUCAGAAUGUCGCGGUGAAUACGUUCCCGGGUCUUGCACUCACCGCCCGUCA
rnacentral:rRNA from 1 species